UCCAAAAUAAAAGUAUUUUUAACAACAAUGAGGUAGUAAGAUAGCAUAAAAAAGAAAUUUCUAUUUAGGAAUCAAUUGCUUUAGCCAUUCAUCUUAACGAUCUUCAAUGUGGAACAUACUCCAAAAUUUAGAAUUCGUUUACGAUUCAAAGUUGUUACUCGUUAUUGUUUUAGUUCAUGUCGAUGAAAAUAGUAAGUAUCCGAACGAUUUAGCUUGUUGAUCGUAAUAAGAUUAAAUUUAGUAGGAUAUAAUUUGAACGGCAAUAUCAUUUCUUCAUUACGAAAGUUACUACACGAUUCAACAUGUCAUAGGUUCAUAAAUCACUUUACCCAACAAACUCAUACUUCUCAUUGAAAUUAUUUUCGUUCAUUAUUAAUCUUUAGUGGAUUCAGCAAGGGAUAGCUGAUGAAUUGGAGAUAAAUGAUAUAUCCAAUUUGCUAUUGGCGAAGAUAUCAAUUCACCAAGUAGCGUUGGUUUUCUCGAUAAUAAGAGUACGAAGGUUAAGUAUGAGAGCAGUGCUCUUUUUUCAGCAAAUUCCCUGUUUAAUUAAUACAUUUAAGCAAAUUUUUUAUCUUUUAAACCCGUUCAUUUACAGUUUCAUUUCUUAAUUUUUGCCCCUUUUUUUUUCGUUUACUGCUUUUGCCAGUUCUGUUAUUUCAAUGUCAUGCUUGUUUUGCAUGUUCUUUUUUGCAAAUCACCCCUACAAUGAAUUUUUGAAUAGAGCAACGAUGUUAGAUCUGUUGCAUCCAUCCUGGCGUGAGAAUGAGAAAAUAUUGCUCGUUUCGAAUGUGCUUGCAAAAAUAACAGAAAUCGUAGGGAGCAUCUCGGAUGAAUUCAAAAGAUCACUAAUGAAACCUUGUGGAUUUUUUUUAGCGAUCAGCGAUUAGUAAACUUUGUGGGAAUCGCCAGUUUCGUCAAAAACUACUAAAUGUUAAAAGAGUGUAUGGAAAAAAAUUUCACUGUUGGAAAAACUAACGGGAUUAUGCUUAAAACGAUGAGAAAAAUGCAAUACCCACACUUGACUUGUAAACUCAUUCAUUGCAAUAUACGUUUGCUUAUUUGUUGGUGCCUGGAAAACAAAAGAGAAAUUAAUAACCUAAAUUUAAAAAAUAAAAUAGAAAAAGGAACGUUACAUAAUACAGAUGACUAGUUUUCUGUGUAAAAACAAUAAAAUAAAAAAUAAUGGUAAUUAAUAAAUAAUACAAUUUUGGAUAUUGAUCGUCAUUCUAGUUACUAUUUGGAAUAGGAAUAAAAAUAAAAAAGAAAAUUUUUAUUUGAA